rnacentral:rRNA from 1 species
UACGUAGGUGACCAGCGUUGUCCGGAUUUACUGGGCGUAAAGAGCGCGCAGGCGGUCGUUCAAGUCGAGUGUGAAAGCCCCCGGCUCAACUGGGGAGGGUCAUUCGAUACUGAUCGACUUGAAGGCAGGAGAGGGAAGUGGAAUUCCCGGUGUAGUGGUGAAAUGCGUAGAUAUCAGGAGGAACACCGGUGGUGUAGACGGCUUUCUGGACCGUAACUGACGCUGAGACACGAAAGCGUGGGUAGCAAACAGG